rnacentral:rRNA from 1 species
UACGUAGGGUGCAAGCGUUGUCCGGAAUUAUUGGGCGUAAAGAGCUCGUAGGCGGCUUGUUGCGUCGACUGUGAAAACCUGCGGCUCAACCGUGUGGUCUGCAGUCGAUACGGGCAGGCUGGAGUUCGGUAGGGGAGACUGGAAUUCCUGGGUGUAGCGGUGAAAUGCGCAGGAGUAAUCAGGAGGAACACCGGUGGCGA